GGGGCUUUGCGUUCUAUAUUAACAAUAAUAAUAUAACAAAAUAUGAGAAUAUUUGACAUAACGCCCUGGGCUUCUCAAAUCCUAAGGAACGUCUUGUAUCAAUUGGGUACCGUUUGGCCUUUGAUGCCUACAAAUGUUAUUUUAUCGCGAGUAUAGAUAAUGAACAAUAUUAUGAAAUAACUAAAUAUUAAGGGUACAAUACGCGCUGAAUCUAACUGGU